UUUUACACGUCUCAUAGUGUUUUGGUGAUUACCAUUACAUCCCUUUUGUAUUUUCUUCCCUUUACUUGUUCAAAGACUGGAGCUUUUUGAUAGUAUUAAUUGAUUAUUCACCUGAAUGUUUUGAUCUGGGUGAUAUCAAGAUUUGAUUUUUCAUGUAAAUUUGCAGUUUUUAGAGGUUUAGCUGAUCUGGGUCAUCUUUAUUUUUCUCCAUCUGAGGGAGGAAGUGAAGAUGAAGGUAGGGUUUUUAGUGUGUAUAUUGUUUGUGAUGUGUGGUUGUUGUAUGGGAAGAUUUGUGGUGGAGAAGAACAGCUUGAGAGUAACAUCACCAGACUCAAUUAAAGAGGUGUAUGAGUGUGCAAUUGGCAACUUUGGUGUACCACAGUAUGGAGGAACUCUGGUUGGUAAUGUCAUGUACCCAAAAUCUAAUAAAAAAUCAUGCAAUAAUUUCUCAGAUUUUGAUAUCUUCUACAAAUCUAAGCCUGGUGGCAGACCUGUUUUCCUUCUUGUUGAUAGAGGAGAUUGCUUUUUCACACUGAAGGCUUGGAAUGCUCAGCAAGCUGGAGCAGGUGCUAUUCUUGUUGCUGAUAACCGUGUUGAGCCUUUAAUUACCAUGGACACCCCUGAGGAAGAGGAUGCAAAAGCAGAUUACUUGCAAGAUAUAACUAUUCCAUCUGCUUUAAUUAGCAAAUCACUUGGGGAUAGCAUCAAGAGGGAACUAUCUAAAGGAGAAUUGGUUAACAUAAACCUCGAUUGGAGAGAGGCUCUUCCACAUCCCGACGAUCGAGUGGAGUACGAAUUUUGGACCAAUAGUAAUGAUGAGUGUGGCCCCAAGUGUGAAAGCCAGAGAGAGUUUGUCAAAAACUUCAAGGGGGCUGCCCAGAUACUUGAGCAGAAAGGUUAUACACAGUUUAGUCCCCAUUACAUAACUUGGUAUUGCCCGGAAGCAUUUAUUUUGAGCAAGCAAUGCAAGUCUCAGUGCAUCAACCAUGGAAGGUACUGUGCUCCAGACCCUGAACAAGACUUCAGUAAAGGUUAUGAUGGAAAGGAUGUUGUUUUGCAAAAUUUACGUCAAGCUUGCUUUUUUAAGGUUGCCAAUGACAGUGGGAAACCCUGGUUGUGGUGGGAUUAUGUCACUGACUUUGCAAUACGGUGUCCAAUGAAAGAGAAGAAAUACACAAAAGGAUGUGCUGAUCAAGUAAUCAAGUCACUUGGCUUUGACGUCAAACAGAUUGAAAAAUGUGUUGGAGAUCCUGAAGCAGAUACUGACAACCCUGUUCUAAAGGUCGAACAGGACAUCCAGAUAGGUAAGGGUGCUCGUGGAGAUGUGACUAUCUUGCCAACUCUCGUUAUAAACAAUAGACAGUACAGAGGUAAGCUGGACAAGGGAGCAGUCCUCAAGGCAAUUUGUUCAGGUUUUGAGGAGACAACCGAGCCUGCAAUUUGUUUAACUGAAGAAAUAGAAACAAAUGAAUGCUUAGAAUCAAAUGGUGGGUGCUGGCAGGACGAGGCUGCUAAUAUUACAGCAUGCCAGGAUACUUUCCGUGGUAGAGUAUGUGAAUGCCCAGUAGUUCAGGGAGUAAAAUUUGUUGGUGAUGGUUAUACUCACUGUGAACCAUCUGGAGCAUUGCGAUGUGAAAUAAACAAUGGAGGCUGUUGGAAGGGAACCCAAAAUAGCAGGGCAUAUUCUGCUUGCAUUGACGAUCACACAAAGGGUUGCAAAUGUCCACCAGGAUUCAAAGGCGAUGGAGUUAACAGUUGUGAGGAUAUUGAUGAAUGCAAGGAGAAGUUGGCUUGCCAGUGUGCUGAGUGCAAAUGCAAGAACACUUGGGGUAGUUAUGAUUGCAGUUGCAGCGCCAAUUUGUUGUACAUGCAUGAACAUGACACAUGUAUAAGCAAAGAUGCCAAGUCAGAGUUCAGCUGGGGCCUUGUUUGGACUAUCAUCUUGGGUUUGGCUGUUGCAGGGGUUUCGGCAUAUGCUGUGUACAAGUAUAGAAUCCGGAGAUACAUGGACUCAGAGAUUCGUGCUAUCAUGGCACAAUAUAUGCCUUUGGGUCAAGGAGAGGGAGCUACUAAUGUCCCCCACGGGAACGUCUAAUGAUAGACCAUUACUGAAGAGUGAUGAUGGCUUGGGUAGAAUGCAGCCUUCACUGGGGAUGUCUGCCACCAGUUAGUCAGCCUUAAGUUCUUUGUGCCGAUCAUCAUCGAAACAAAUUACAUCUUAUUUAUGUACAUGUAUGUCCCAACAAUGCACAUAAACCAAAUAAAAGGAAUUGUCCUUGAAUUGGAUUUGCGCAUGAUGUUUUACUUUUAAUAAUAAGGAAAUGCGCAAUAUCAGUUUGUAUUCCACUUGAGAGCAUUUUGUAUUGCUCCAAUAUGGUAUAUGAAGAUUAAUUUUGAUUUUCCAACAGCAGAAUGUUAUAUACCAAUUGUCAGAUAGGGCCACUGCCACUGUGUUCUCAAUCGGCACGUUGAAGAUUUGAUGGCUGAUCACAUUUGAACUUUUGACCUCUGCAUGACAAGUUUUGUAAUCGAAGAAGUUGACUUUAUACCUUUUCUUUUUUGCUUUUCCUAUUCGGUGUUUAGUAUCUGUACUGGAGCUCAACUAUUCUGAUUUGCGCUACGUAGGGUCCCAUUUAGGGGAAGCAUUCCAUGCCAGGAUUAUUUUUUAUAUUUAUUCAGAGUUUGAAUAGUA